UAGGGAAUAUUGGACAAUGGGUGAGAGCCUGAUCCAGCCAUGCCGCGUGAGUGAUGAAGGCCCUAGGGUUGUAAAGCUCUUUUCACCGGUGAAGAUAAUGACGGUAACCGGAGAAGAAGCCCCGGCUAACUUCGUGCCAGCAGCCGCGGUAAUACGAAGGGGGCUAGCGUUGUUCGGAUUUACUGGGCGUAAAGCGCACGUAGGCGGACUUUUAAGUCAGGGGUGAAAUCCCGGGGCUCAACCCCGGAACUGCCUUUGAUACUGGAAGUCUUGAGUAUGGUAGAGGUGAGUGGAAUUCCGAGUGUAGAGGUGAAAUUCGUAGAUAUUCGGAGGAACACCAGUGGCGAAGGCGGCUCACUGGACCAUUACUGACGCUGAGGUGCGAAAGCGUGGGGAGCAAACAGGAUUAGAUACCCGCGUAGUCCCUGAGCGGGCUGGCAAGGCGCAU
rnacentral:rRNA from 1 species